rnacentral:rRNA from 1 species
UAGGGAAUCUUCCACAAUGGACGAAAGUCUGAUGGAGCAGCGCCGCGUGAGUGAAGAAGGGUUUCGGCUCGUAAAGCUCUGUUGGUAGUGAAGAAAGAUAGAGGUAGUAACCGGCCUUUAUUUGACGGUAAUUACUUAGAAAGUCACGGCUAACUACGUGCCAGCAGCCGCGGUAAUACGUAGGUGGCAAGCGUUGUCCGGAUUUAUUGGGCGUAAAGCGAGUGCAGGCGGUUCAAUAAGUCUGAUGUGAAAGCCUUCGGCUCAACCGGAGAAUUGCAUCAGAAACUGUUGAACUUGAGUGCAGAAGAGGAGAGUGGAACUCCAUGUGUAGCGGUGGAAUGCGUAGAUAUUAGGAGGAACACCAGUGGCGAAGGCGGCUUACUGGACGGUAACUGACGUUGAGGCUCGAAAGCGUGGGGGAGCAAACAGGAUUAGAUACCC